rfam:Schistosoma mattheei strain Denwood, Zambia genome assembly, scaffold: SMTD_scaffold0003495
AUCCAGCUGACGAGUCCCAAAUAGGAGGAAACACGCGUCAAACUGGAU